rnacentral:rRNA from 1 species
GACGAACGCUGGCGGCGUGCUUAACACAUGCAAGUCGAACGGAAAGGCCCUGCUUUUGUGGGGUGCUCGAGUGGCGAACGGGUGAGUAACACGUGAGUAACCUGCCCUUGACUUUGGGAUAACUUCAGGAAACUGGGGCUAAUACCGGAUAGGAGCUCCUGCUGCAUGGUGGGGGUUGGAAAGUUUCGGCGGUUGGGGAUGGACUCGCGGCUUAUCAGCUUGUUGGUGGGGUAGUGGCUUACCAAGGCUUUGACGGGUAGCCGGCAUGGGAGGGUGACCGGCGACAUUGGGACUGAGAUACGGCCCAGACUCCUACGGGAGGCAGCAGUGGGGAAUAUUGCACAAUGGGCGGAAGCCUGAUGCAGCAACGCCGCGUGCGGGAUGCCGGCCUUCGGGUUGUAAACCGCUUUCGCAUGUGACGAAGCGUGCGUGACGGUAAUGGGUAAAGAAGCACCGGCUAACUACGUG